GUAUCCGGAUGUCUAAUUUUAAUGAAAUUAGCAUGAAAUGGAAACUGAAAACAGGCCACAUGUAUCUUUCCCAUUUCAACAGCCGCAAUUAACGCAUAAUUUGUAGCCAAGGCAUCGUCACUUGGCUCGAUAGCCUCAUUUGCUUGAUAUGCAAAAGAGAUGGAUAAAAACUGAAAGAGAGCAACCGCGAAAAGCAGAAUGUGAUGGAAGCAGAGAAAGGAGGAUUUGGUAGUAGGCAGGCAGGCUACUAUCGUUUGAAUUACCAAACAGGCUGCGUGACUUGAGGGGUGGCAGUGGUGUACGGUGCAGGGCGGCUUCGGGGUGGCAAGUGGCACCUGGUGAUUUUCUUCGGUUUUGUGGGGCUGUUUGGACUCACUUUGUCUUUGUACACCCGAUACUUUUUCAAGUUCAUUAGGGUAAUGAAGCAACCACAGCCCCCUUGGACCUGAGACCCGGGCCUCAAAUAACACUAGAAGUAAGCAUGAAAAAUAUGCAACGAGCUGUGGCAAAUACUAGGACUAGUAGUGGAAAAAUGGCGGAAAAACAAAGUUGAGUGUACUUUACUUUAUGGACGCCCAUAACUAUGUGCCUCGUUGCUGUUGCUGUUGCUGUCGCUGUCGCUGUUGCUACUGCUGUUCUUGUUUUUUGUUAUUUUACUUUUGCUUUUUGCAUAAUGAAUGGACAUAAACACGGCACAAAGUUUUUCACAGUUUUGUGUAGAGGCGCACAUGGCCUUCAUUCUACUCAAACACACAGUGUCUGGGGCGAUUCGCAUUAAAGUUUUGCCUAACA